rnacentral:rRNA from 1 species
AAUCAUUGGGUUUAAAGGGUCCGCAGGCGGCCAGAUAAGUCAGUGGUGAAAUUCCGUGGCUCAACCACGGAACUGCCAUUGAUACUGUUUGGCUUGAAUCAGUUCGAGGAUGCCGGAAUGUGUGUGUAGCGGUGAAAUGCAUAGAUAUCACACAGAACACCAAUUGCGAAGGCAGGUGUCCAGAACUGUAUUGACGCUGAUGGACGAAAGCGUGGGUAGCGAACAGGAUUAGAUACCCUGGUAGUCCACGCCGUAAACGAUGGUUACUAGCUGUUUGGACCUUGUGUCUGAGUGGCUAAGCGAAAGUGAUAAGUAACCCACCUGGGGAGUACGUUCGCAAGAAUGAAACUCAAAGGAAUUGACGGGGGCCCGCACAAGCGGUGGAGCAUGUGGUUUAAUUCGAUGAUACGCGAGGAACCUUACCAGGGCUUAAAUGUAAGUUGCAUUAGUUAGGGAUAACUAUUUCUUCGGACCACUUACAAGGUGCUGCAUGGCU